CAGAUUAAAUAUAAUGAUAAUUUGCAAAUUUAUACUGAUGGUUCGAAAAAUCCAAAAAAUGAAGCAACUAGUGUAGCUGUAGUGAUUCCUGAAUUAAAAAUUAAUAUUUCAAAAAGAACAUCUAAUUAUUUUAGUAUAUAUGCGGUAGAAUUAUGUGCUAUAUUAUUAGCUUUAGAAUGGGUGGAGGAUACAAAUAUAAAUAAAAUAAUAAUUUGUAGUGAUUCAUUAUCUGCAUUAUUAAGUAUAGAAAAGGGGUGUACAAAGAUUUUUCGGGUUUUUUUUUUAUUCUGGGAUCAUAAGGAUUUGAAGGAUAUAUAUUAGGAUCCAAUAGAUGGCAGUAAUGCAACAACUAUGGAUGCAAGCUGUCGUUAAAUCCUAAAGAAGAAGAAAAAGAAGAAGAAGACGACGACUUUACUGUGUUUGGAUUUUACUGGUAUGCCGGACAACGUCUCGCGUUCAACUCCUCUAGGACGCGAUCCACAACUUUCAGCCAGUCCCCAGACUGACGAGAAGAAACUGCUGAUUGCUAUCAGUGGACUGUCUCGUCAGCUUACUCAACAUACUGCCGACAUGAAUGAGAGGUUCACUCAACUGCAGAAUUCGGUAAACUCCAGGUUGCUGUCCAUAGAGGACAAGAUGGCGGCUCUGCAGUCGAAGAACUGUGCGGGAGAGACUAACUCCAAGAAGAGAAGACGGAUGCACAAAAGCUUGCGUACGCCGUCUUCACAACUCGGAGACAAAUUGCAGGCGCUAUGAACCGGCGCAAGGACUAAGCACGCCUCAUAAUGAGGCAGUUACCUCCUAUCUGCUCGGAGCAAUAACUGCAAGCCUCGAUUUACACUAUAUUGAUAAAGACGACAUUGUGUCCGCCUGUAAGACGUAUUACGAGACGGUACGCAGGAGCUUCAGAUAUACGCAGCCAGAGAACUCAAUGCGGGCGGAAGCUGCCAAGAAUUCAGCUCGGAGUCGAGCGAGAAGAAAGAGGCUGCAGGAAUCGAGGCAGAGCGUGCUAGCUGAUGAGGAAGUGGAACUCUGGAUGUCCGCCACCGUCGACCUCAUGUCUGACGAGGAAGAUGGCGUCGUUGGCGGGGCGCCGUCAUUUCGUAGGCCGGAUCUCUCUGAACUCUGUGUGAA